rnacentral:rRNA from 1 species
AUGGCGGAGGAACCGUCCGCCAAGCGUCAUCAUGGCGAGACGUCGGACAAGAGCAGCAACCUCGUCGACGUUCACGUCCCCGACGAGAAGCAUGAGUACACGAGAACCCUCACAAGGGUUGAGCUCCACGGCAAGGAGACGCUGGAGAUCGUCUGCACCAGCGAACCAGACAAGGCCGACGAGAUGAUGAGAAGGCUCGGGAUGAAGGGCGGAGGCUUGUAUCCGAGCUUCAUCCGAGUUGAUGUGGAGUACACCAGUGAAGAUGAACCUCCACAUAUGGCAGCAGUCCUGCAGUUGUGCGUCGAGGAACUCUGCUUGGUGUACCACAUCGCAGCGGCCACAAAAUGGCCCAAGCGCCUCAAAGACUUCCUGUAG